CGACUUCUUCCCUUUGGCAAACGCUGAGCUCCUGCUCUGUUUUGUCCAAUUAUGGGUUGAGCUCACCCCUGCCCACGAGCCAGCUAAUCAGACUUUUAUGAGCCUUGCUCCCUCACGCCCAGGGCCCGGAGCUGAAUGCAGGUUUCUGCAGAGAGAGGAGGACGUGCUUUUUGCCGGAAGACUGCUUCCCACUCUGACCUAAUCCUGGGAGCCCUGGAACCUCAAAUCCUAGCUCUCUGAGGAGAGUCCAGCUUCUUCCAUCAACAUGGACCUCAGGACCCUGGUGUGAGAAAGGGCCUGGAAGAUAAGCCUAGACAUCUCCAACUGGAACUCGGGAUGAAUUCUCCCAUAGACCUACCUGUGAAUGGUGCCUGGCAUGGUCAAGGCUGAGACAACUAAAUGUGUGUUUUGUAUACACCCUCUAUGAAUCUGUGCUGGAUUGCCAAAAUAUGGAAACAUAAGUAGAAACACCUAGAGAGUGCCUGACCUUGUGAAAAAGACCUAUAAUUCCAAUUAAUAUUUUUUAAAGCCUAAGUUUGACUCCCCAAAACCUUUUCUCUACAGUAUCUUGAACCAUACAGCAUUCGUUCUAUUGACUAAGUUCAGCUGACGCAAAGCAAGAACGGAAGAAAGCAGUGGUGAUGGGGUGACUCAUCGGCCUUCAGUGGAGGCAAUUAUGUCGGGCACACAGAGUCUGUGGGAGCUGCCCUUCCACCGAGGGAGAGACAAAGCGCAGGGCGUCUCAGCACCGAGGGUCUGUGUCUGUCCACGCAGCCAGCGGCCCCGUGUAGGAUGGGAGUCACGAAGCUCGGCCGGUAGAGACACACACACAUCACAUACCUCACGUCUACCGCCCCCUCCCUCAGCGAGGACCAGCGAGCACAUGAGUCGCACAUUGCAACUUGCAGCGCAUUGCAGCGCCGUGGGUUCAUGGCACAGCCCUGAGGCUGAUUAUGGAGGCUGCCACCCCAGCGACAAAGUGACGCCCACCUCUUAACAGGAACGAGCAAAAUGAAGUUCUCUGCUGUUCACAUCAAGGCCAGUGUCAUCGGUGCUGCAUGCAGAUGGAUGCACCUUUCAAAUAGAGGCUCCAGGGGCGAUUCAAGACGUGCUAAUGUCUCUGUGAGGACGGAUGGCUCCCCUCACCCCGUCGCGGCUGAUAUUGAUAACUUGGUACAAGGCUGGGCUUUUCCUUGACAGCAUUGUCUGCUGUGAGAAUCUAGGGCUGCAAAUAAAACACCAGAAUAGUUAUGGGUAUCUUUCCA
rnacentral:lncRNA from 1 species